GACGUGUUCCAGCCCUUUGUCUCUCAUCGCUGGUUGGAGCCCUCAUCAGACAUCAAGCUCCAUGCGCAAGCCAACUAAGAUUUCCAACUGCCGGCUCCGUGCAUUCCUACAUCCUUGCUAAGCGCCCCAUGACCGUGGAAGAUAUCAUCAAACUUUCGGAAACCAGCCCCAUCGAGUGUGAAUUCGGCCAGUCUCUCAUGUUACUGUAAAUAAUGGAAUAAUUGAACACAGUACUCUGUGCCCUAUCCACGUGGCCUACCUGCCAUUCCGUUGUCUCAGGAUAUUCAAUUUUGUGUAAAUAAACUAAUAAAGAUUUC